rnacentral:rRNA from 1 species
AUGGGGAGGCAGUGCCAUGGGCAUGCCGUCAAGUCUGGGCUGGCGGAGCACCACUAUGUCUGCAACGCGUUGCUGCAUAUGUACUGCCAGUGUGCUCAUGUGGAGGAUGCGGUCAAGGUGUUUGAGAUGGUGCCUGGUUUCGACGCGUUCGCGUUCAACUCGAUGAUCAAUGGGUUUCUUGACAAGGGCAAGUUUGAUGGUUCGGUCAGGGUUGUCAGAAGCAUGGUCGGACAAGUUGAGCAAUGGGACCAUGUGUCGUAUGUCGCAGUUCUUGGGCAUUGUGCUAGCACCAAAGAGCUGCUGCUUGGUCGUCAAGUGCAUUCCCAGGCGUUGAAGAGGAGGCUCGAGCUGAAUGUGUAUGUGGGCAGCGCUCUGGUUGAUAUGUACGGGAAAUGUGAGUGCGCCUGUGAUGCUCAUUCCGCAUUUGAGGUUUUGCCAGAAAAGAAUGUUGUUUCUUGGACAGCUGUUAUGACUGCCUAUACCCAGAAUGAGCUGUUUGAAGAGGCAUUGCAGUUGUUCUUAGAUUUGGAAAUGGAAGGAAUUCGGCCAAAUGAGUUCACUUAUGCCGUGGCUCUCAACAGUUGUGCUGGUCUUGCAGCCUUGAAAAAUGGCAAUGCACUUAGUGCCUCUGCUGUGAAAACUGGGCAUUGGGGUGCUCUGUCUGUCUGUAAUGCCCUCAUUAAUAUGUAUGCAAAAAGUGGCAGCAUUAGUGAUGCAUGGAGAGUCUUCCUUUCUAUGCCAUGUCGCGACGUGGUCUCGUGGAAUUCGAUCAUAAUAGGCUAUGCUCAUCAUGGCCUUGCAAGAGAAGCCAUGCGUGUAUUUCAUGAUAUGUUGUCUGCUGAAGAAGCCCCAUCCUAUGUGACCUUUGUUGGGGUGCUGUCAGCUUGUGCACAGUUGGGUCUUGUCGAUGAAGGAUUGUACUACUUGAACAUUAUGAUGAAGGAAAUGGGUAUAAAACCUGGAAGAGAACAUUACACUUGCAUGGUUGGUUUGCUCUGCAGAGCUGGACGGCUAGAUGAGGCGGAACAGUUCAUAUUGAGCAACUGUAUUGGCACUGACGUUGUUGCGUGGAAAUCGCUUUUAGGUUCUUGCCAGGUAUAUAAAAACUAUGGCCUGGGUCAUCGAGUAGCUGAGCAGAUCCUUGAGUUGAAACCCAAUGAUGUAGGAACCUAUGUUUUGCUUUCUAACAUGUAUGCAAAAGCAAACCGAUGGGAUGGCGUUGUGAAGGUCCGGAAGCUGAUGAGAGAGAGGGGUGUUAGGAAAGAGCCUGGUGUUAGUUGGAUUCAAGUAGGAAGUGAGGUCCAGGUUUUCACAUCAGACGACAAGAAUCACCAAUGGAUAAACCAGAUCACCAUAAAGCUCAAAGAGUUGAUAGACCAGAUCAAAGUGAUCGGAUAUGCUCCGAAUUUUGCGGUUGUCCUACAUGAUGUUGAGGAUGAACAAAAGGAAGAGCAUCUUAUGUAUCACAGUGAGAAAAUGGCCCUUGCGUUUGGCCUUAUUCACAGCCCCGAAGGAGCAACUAUCCGCAUAAUGAAAAAUCUCAGGAUAUGCGAUGAUUGCCAUGUUGCUAUCAAACUCAUCUCUCUUGUAACAAGAAGAAGAAUAGUUAUAAGAGAUACUGUUCGGUUUCAUUGUAUAGAGGAUGGAGUAUGUUCAUGUGAUGACUAUUGGUGA